rnacentral:rRNA from 1 species
GCUUGCUCCUGGAUUAGCGGCGGACGGGUGAGUAAUGCCUAGGAAUCUGCCUGGUAGUGGGGGAUAACGUCCGGAAACGGGCGCUAAUACCGCAUACGUCCUGAGGGAGAAAGUGGGGGAUCUUCGGACCUCACGCUAUCAGAUGAGCCUAGGUCGGAUUAGCUAGUUGGUGGGGUAAAGGCCUACCAAGGCGACGAUCCGUAACUGGUCUGAGAGGAUGAUCAGUCACACUGGAACUGAGACACGGUCCAGACUCCUACGGGG